rnacentral:rRNA from 1 species
AUGGCGCCGCAUCCCAGGGACUACUGGGUCAACUUCUUCCGGGGAGGCGGCGAGGACAUCCUCAACGCCAUCGAGGGGGCCAUCGACGUCGCCGCGUCCGAGCAGCCCGCCGCCCUCCGCGCCAGGCGCGACGCCAUAGCCGAGCGCCUCUACACGGCGCUCCUCCUCGUGUCCUCCGGCGCGCCGACCACGGCGGCGGGGGCCGCGGCGGCAGCGGCGCGUCCCCCGGCGGGGGCGCCCGCCGCUGAGCCGCAGGCGCAGGAGCAGCAGCAGCAGCAGCUCCUCCCCGAGGGCGCCGCCAGCGUCCCCAGCCUCUGCAGCUCCGACCGCGCCGAGGCCAUUACCGACGACGGAGCGCCCCGCCACGACGACGACUCCGUCGCCGCCGAGGCCGAGAAAAUCAAGGCCGUCCUCGUCAACUACCAGGAAAAGUCGGAGGCGGCGUUGCUCGAUCUGCUCCGGCGGCUGCAGCAGCUGGAGUUCACGGUGCACACCUUGAAGGUCACUGCGAUUGGGAAGACCGUGGGCACCCUCCGGAAGCACAACUCCAAGCAGAUUCGGCACCUCGUACGGUUGCUCAUCGGGGGUUGGAAGAGUAUAGUUGACGAGUGGAUGAGCAAUGGAGGCAGCGGAGACGCCAUUGUUGAUCACACCCCUCAGUCCAUGCAUCCGUCCAGUCUGGAGCAGGAAGACCGAGGAAUGUCAUCACCUUCCGUGGACGAGGGGGCACUCUUCGCCACACCGAGUACUUCCAUCCGGCUCUCAGAGGACAACCAGGGCUCUAGGAUGUUUGAUGGAAUGGAUGAUGCUGGAAAUACAAGGAACAGUGUACAGCGGCAUCCGGGAAGCCAAGAACCAAUUAGAAGGCCGCCGCAGCCAGUGGCCCAGCAGUAUGACCCUGACCAGAGCUGGAGGCAAGAACAAUCUGCAGCAAGGCAAUCCCGGCCGCAAGAACUGGCCAAUGGGCAAACGAGAGAGCAAUUCAUUGCGGCCAUGCUGACGAAGCCCUCAAGUGCUGAGUCGGGUCGUGGGAGACCUCAAGUGAGGCCUAAGCAGCAGCAAGGUGCCUCGCCCGCCCAAGGCAGACCGCAACCGGUGCCAUCUGAUAAACCGGCGGGCAAUCCUGAUGCGAACUCGCUUCGAGCGAAGCUAGAUCUCGCAAAGAAUGCAAAGUUGGAACUGGCAACUAACUCCAAGCUAGAGAUGACAAAGCGAAAGCUUCAGGAAGGGUACCAAGAAUUCGAUAACGCAAAGAAGCAGAGGACUGUACAGAUGGUGGAUCCGCAAGACAUCCGGAAGCAAGGGAACCGGGCUUGGCAGCCAAAUGCCAAGCCGAGGAACAACAGCAACAGCAGCAACACCAACAACAACCGGAAUUGGCCGUCGAAAUGA